GUGACCUCAAAUCAGGUAGGACUACCCGCUGAACUUAAGCAUAUCAAUAAGCGGAGGAAAAGAAACUAACAAGGAUUCCCCUAGUAACUGCGAGUGAAGCGGGAAA
rnacentral:rRNA from 1 species